GACGAACGCUGGCGGCGUGCUUAACACAUGCAAGUCGAGCGGUAAGGCCCUUUCGGGGGUACACGAGCGGCGAACGGGUGAGUAACACGUGGGUGACCUGCCCUCAGCUCUGGGAUAAGCCUGGGAAACCGGGUCUAAUACUGGAUAUGACUCCAUGACGCAUGUUGUGGGGUGGGAAGCCUUGUGCGGCUGAGGAUGGGCCCGCGGCCUAUCAGCUUGUUGGUGGGGNGAUGGCCUACCAAGGCGACGACGGGUAGCCGGCCUGAGAGGGCGACCGGCCACACUGGGACUGAGACACGGCCCAGACUCCUACGGGAGGCAGCAGUGGGGAAUCUUGCGCAAUGGGCGAAAGCCUGACGCAGCGACGCCGCGUGAGGGAUGACGGCCUCGGUGUAAC
rnacentral:rRNA from 1 species